rnacentral:snRNA from 1 species
GUGCUUGCUUUGGCAGCACAUACUGAAAUUGGAGCGAUAACAGAGAUGAUUAGCAUGGCCCCUGCACAAAUUUGUGAAUCGUUCCAUAUUAUA